rnacentral:rRNA from 1 species
GAGCUUGCUCCUUGGGUGACGAGUGGCGGACGGGUGAGUAAUGUCUGGGGAUCUGCCCGAUGGAGGGGGAUAACUACUGGAAACGGUAGCUAAUACCGCAUAACCUCGAAAGAGCAAAGUGGGGGACCUUCGGGCCUCACACCAUCGGAUGAACCCUGAUGGGAUUAGCUAGUAGGUGGGGUAACGGCUCACCUAGGCGACGAUCCCUAGCUGGUCUGAGAGGAUGACCAGCCACACUGGAACUGAGACACGGUCCAGACUCCUACGGGAGGCAGCAGUGGGGAAUAUUGCACAAUGGGCGCAAGCCUGAUGCAGCCAUGCCGCGUGUAUGAAGAAGGCCUUCGGGUUGUAAAGUACUUUCAGCGGGGAGGAAGGGAUGAAGGUUAAUAACCUUCGUCAUUGACGUUACCCGCAGAAGAAGCACCGGCUAACUCUGUGCCAGCGGCCGCGGUAAUACGGAGGGUGCAAGCGUUAAUCGGAAUUACUGGGCGUAAAGCGCACGCAGGCGGUUUGUUAAGUCAGAAGUGAAAUCCCCGGGCUCAACCUGGGAACUGCAUUUGAAACUGGCAAGCUUGAGUCUCGUAGAGGGGGGUAGAAUUCCAGGUGUAGCGGUGAAAUGCGUAGAGAUCUGGAGGAAUACCGGUGGCGAAGCGGCCCCCUGGACGAAGACUGACGCUCAGGUG